UUUGUUUUUAUCUUUCCUCUUUUUGUACUUGAUUAAUUACCUUAUAUUCCAAUAAUUACUUUUCUCCUCCCAUUUUGCUUAUGUUUUAUAUUGGGGUCUAAAAAUGAUUCUACUAGUUAUAUUAAGGUAUUAGAUGAACUUGAUCCAAUAACUAUUUUUAAAAGAAAUAAACGAAACAGUUAACAUACUACCUUACCCUCUCAAAAAAAAAAAAUUUGCUGUAAUAAUACCUUUCCGCCGUAUCGUACGGGCCGUUAACUAGUUUUCUAUAAUUUAACAACUACAACUCACGAGGAAAACGACAAGUGCAAAAUUAUAUAAAAAAAAAAAACUUAACAUUUAUUGAGGAUCUGUCUUUCAUUUAAAAAAAAAAUGUAAAAGAGACAAAUGAAAUCCUCAGCAAUCCAACUGGUACCGACCGUCCCUAGAGCAAGUGGCAAAAGACUUGGUGGUUGGUACCCGAAACUCAAAUUUGAAUCCUAGUUGAUUCAUAUUUCCAGCUAAGUUUAUUUCUAAAUAAAAUAAACGAAGCAGGUAGCGCGCUAUCUAUCUCUCAAAAAAAAAAUAAAUAAAAUCCGAGCAAGUGGUCAAACAAGCCAUUUUGGUGGGACAGCAAAUAUAUUUCAUGGACCGAAUCAAUAUGAUGAACUUCUAGAAACAACAUAAAGCAAUUAAUUUUUAAAUUUAGAAGUCAUUGAGUAGAGCUAGAAUACCCCCAAAAGCACCAAUAGGUUGGUGUUUUUGAGUUUUUAGCUUUUUGAUGGAGAGAUAUAGGGUUGAGAUGAUAGUGGUAGGUGGUACUACGUGGAAUAAUACUUGAUCCAAAGGGUAUUAGUAAUUGAAAAGCAUAUCCAAGGGAUAAAAACUUAGAAGCACCAAUAAGUUGGUGGUUCUAAAAGUAUUCUAGCUCUACUCGUCAUUGAGUAUCACUUUUUUUAACAGGCGUAUAUUCCAAUCUACACUAAUUUAGUUGACUAAAUAUUCACGCAUCGUUAAUGUAAAAAUAAUAUUGUAAUACUGUGAUUAUUGAUGCACCAAAAAUUAUAAUUUUACAUCACUUUUAUUUCAGUAGUAUAUUAAUAUUUAAUCAGAUAAAUUCGAGUGCGGGACUUGGCUACUUGCUUUGUACUUAGUCCCAUACCAUUUGUUUUUUUUUUUUUUUGGAAUGUUACUUCAUCCCCUCUUUUGAUGUUGACUAUUGUCAAUUUGGCUUAAAUUAGCAUGCCAUUACAUUAAUAAGAGAAUCUUAUUGAAGAAACAAUGGUCACAUAUGAUGCAAAUAUAGUCAAAACAAAAAAGCUUUUAUAUUCUUAGGAAAUUACUUAUAAAAUAUUCGAAUCACCAUCUAAAAAGAAAAGAAAAACUAACCACCCAUUUUCCUGGUCCAAAUGGCUUGACAUUUUCAAACAGAGUUUUCAAAUUUAUUUAUUUUAUAAAAAAUAAUUACGUGUAUUAAGUUGAUCUGAAAAACAAACUAUUCAUUGAGUAUACUAACAUUCAUGCGAAAUUAAUAUAAAUAACACGCGAAAUUAACAGGCAGUACGAUGCAUACUAAACAAACUAUUAAUAUAAAUGACCUGCGAAAUUAACAGAUAGUAUGAUGCAUACUAUGAAAAAAAUUAAUUAGACAAAAAAUUAUAAUUGAUAAAAAUAAUUAUUCACAAAAAUAUAGAUAUGAUACUUUGUUUACUUUUACGCAGCACAAGAAAAUAAAUAGAUAGACCUAAGUAAUAGAUAAACCUAGUUAUCCAAAAGCCGAUCAAGAGGUAGGGAAGUUCCAGUCCUCUAUAUAAAGUUAAAUUUGGGACUCAGUACGCUUGUAUGGGUUUAUUGUAUAACGGUGUGUUUGGUAAAAUCGAUCUACACUUCAGUAAAGCUAGAGUUCCGUCUGUAUGGUAGGAAAAAUUCUAGAAUGCAACGGGUAUAUUAGUGACGUGGCGUAACAAACUAAUCAAAUUAAUCCUUUUAAGAAUAUAUGUCCCAUCAUGAUUGUAAAAAAAUAUUUUUAUUGUACUUUUGUUUAAAAAGAAGGAAUGUGAUUGGCUUGUUAUUGAUGACGUGGUACAAGUGUGACAGUGUAGAAUUCCUCCCAAGAAAGGGUGUAGGCCCCAUGGAAGUCAAGCUCCGCCAUUUCGUCCGUGAGCCAACUUGUGGUUUUCUGAGACGAAUUCACACAUGCAGGCGGUGUAGGCCCCAUGGAAGUCGAGCUCUGCCGUUUCGUCCAAACAUAGGCGAAUUCCUGUUACAAGAAUUAUGUCACCUCCACCUCGAAUUCGAUCAAAACAAAUACGUUCUAAGUUAGUUUUUUUUUUUUUAAGAGAGAAAAACAACAUACUAUCCAUUUCGUUGAUUUCUUUUAAAAUAAAAAAUAAACUUAGCUGAAAAUAUAAAAUAAUUAGAUUUCGAAUUUAGAAUCUCAAGUAUCAAUCACUAAAUCUUUUGCCACUUGCACUAUGGCGGGGGGUCAUUACACUCUAAGUUGUUGAAAGAAUUGUUNUUACCCUAUCAGAAAUCAAAUUUGAUUUUAAAAAUAAUUGAAGUAUACUUAGCAUAUAGGAGUUUGUAUGUAGCACUGGACAAUUAAUUUCUGACAAAGUUAGAGUAAAAUUUAAACACACAAAAUAAAAUCAUAAUACUGUACUUAAUGAUGCAAAAUCCACUGGUGAUAUUUUUCCUCCUGUUUUGUCCAUUUACAAGAUUCUUGUACCCUUCAAUUUUGGUAUUUUCCUAUCUUAUCUUACCUUAUCAAUAUCAAUAUAUUAAAGGGACCGACUGUUCCUAGCGCAAGUAGCAAAGAGCUUGAUGAUUGAUAUUCGAGAUAUCAAGUUCGAAUCCUAGUUGAUUCACAUUUCCAUCUAAGUUUAUUUAUAAAUAAAAUAAAUAAAACGGAUAACAUUCUACCUAUCUCUAAAAAAAAAAAAAAAAAAAAGAUUAAAGGCGUACCAUUAGGGCUGGCAAAUGAGCGAGCCGCUCGCUUCGAGCUCACGCGUCGAACUCGAUAUUUGCCAUCGUGAGCUCGACUCCGAAAUUAAAAAUGAAGCUAGCUUGAACAAAAAAACAAAGCUCGAAAUACCAUUUCAAACCGACUUGAGUACUUACUCCGCUCGUUCGAAUUAGGCCCCCGAAAAGCUCGAAAUCAUAUAUAUAUAUAUAUAUAUAUAUAUAUAUAUAUAUAUAUAUAUAUAUAUAUAUAGUAGAGCUACUAUACUAUCGAAAGUAUAGAGAUCUGGUGCUCUCGAUUUUUUGAUUCUUAGAUCAAUCCCUUUAAUCGUUUUUUAUCUUUGGAUUAAUAUUAUUAUUACCUUAUAGGGACCACUCAAUCCUAAGAGUAUUAUUUAAUCCUAGGGAGACCGCAAUCAUCUCAACGAUACAAUUUUUAAUCAAAUGGUCAAAAAUUAAAAAACAUCAAAUCCUCUAUAUUUCGAUAGCAUAGUAGUUCUACACUAUAUAUAUAUAUAUAUAUACAUACAUAUACAUAUAUAUAUAUAUACAUAUAUAUAUAUAUACAUAUAUAUAUACAUAUAUAUAUAUACAUAUAUAUAUAUACAUACAUAUACAUAUAUAUAUAUAUAUAUACAUAUAUAUAUAUAUAUACAUAUAUACAUAUAUAUAUAUAUACAUAUAUAUAUUAAAAAAUAUAUAAAUAUAAUAUAUAUAUAUAUAUUAAAAUAUAUAUAAAUAUAAUAUAUUUUAAUUAUAUAUAGGUUGAGUGAAUAAUCUGAGUUUAGUUAAAAUUGGGCCAAUGUUGUUGGCCCAUAAAAACAAACCCAAUAGACAAAUAAAAAAGUAAAAUUUUACUAAAUUUAUAUAUUUUUCUUUUCUUUCUUUCUUUCUUUUCUUUACAGAGUUCUAAAUUUUCAAUAUUUUUCUUUCUCAUUUUCUGCCUCUCACCCUAAGUGGCCAAGCCGGAAGCUCUCUAAGUUACCAAGUAACAUCAUAUGCUCGCCGUUGCCUAUCUUACUAUUUAUUGUAUGCUUGAAAAAACAUAUAGAAUAUUUUUAAAGUAAAAAAAUUAUUAUUCAUAUAAAAUUUUAAUUUUAGUUAUAUAUGAUUGGGUAGUUUAAUCCAAUAUUUAUCUAUAAAAUUUAUUUAUUUUUGACUGUAUAAAUGAAAAUGAAUAAUAUAGAAAUUGAAGGCGGAAGAAAAGACAUGUGAGGCUGAAAAAAUUAGAUAUUCAACUCAUAAAUUAUUUUUUUUAAUAUUAUAAUACUAUAUUUCAUAUAAUUAUUUUGUACUUUGAACUAUUAGACAUAUUUUUGUAUCAAAUUAUAGAUAAUGUUCUAUAUAAAUUAAACUAUUGAUCGUAUAAUGUUCAGAAUUUCAAGCGGCUCGUUUAGGGCUCGAGCUCGCUCGACUUGAAAUUAGGCUCGCUCGAGCUCGACUCGAAUUAAUUUCAAUCCAAGCUUGAGCUUAAAUUUAGGCUCGAAAUUAAUUUCAAGCCGAAUUUGAGCCGAGGUAAGCUCGCUCGAGCUCGGCUCGUUUCCACCCCUACGUACCAUACAUGAAAGGAGAAUCCAAACCAUGUGUACAGCAGAGCCCUCCUCGCUCCUGUGGGGCCCACUCUUUUUUUUUUUUUUUUUCUCUCUCUCCCAUACUUCCUUCACCCUUUCUUUUUUUAUUUGUUUUUUUCUCUCAACAUUUUUUUUUUUAUUUUUGUCUAUAUCACGUGUAAAAUUUUAUUAUAUGAACUAACCUUAUUUUUUAAUAGUCGAUAUAACAAAAUUAAAAUUUCAUACGGUAUAAAAAAAAUUGUACACCAAGUGUAUAAAACAUGCUUAUAUACAAUUUAUAAUUUGAUUUUUUUUUUAUUUUUACCUAUAUCAAGUAUAAAAUUUUAGCGCAUACACCAAUUCUAUUUUUUAAUAGUCUCCUCAAGGAAAGCGGUGGGACCCACUUUUUUUCUCUCUCAUACUCUCUCUCUCUCACACCCUAUACCCCCCCCUCCUCCUCUUUUUUUCUCUCAACACCUUUUCUUUUUUGUUUUUUCCUACACAAGUUUAAAAUUUUAUCAUAUAGAUCAACCUUAUUUUNCUUAUUUUUUAAUAGUCGAUAUAACAAAAUUAAAAUUUCAUACGGUAUAAAAAAAAUUGUACACCAAGUGUAUAAAACAUGCUUAUAUACAAUUUCUCAACACCUUUUCUUUUUUGUUUUUUCCUACACAAGUUUAAAAUUUUAUCAUAUAGAUCAACCUUAUUUUUUAAUAAUUGAUAGUGUACAGCAACCACUUCAAAUAAAGAGGUGGGGCUCACUCCACUUUUUUUUUCUCUCUCUCACUCUCCCUCACUCUCUCACACAUUGUACACCGAGUGUAUAAGACGUGCACAUGUAUUGCAUAUGAUAAAGUUUAGCUUUCUAUCUAUCUAUAUCCAUACACCCUACACACACCCUACACCCUACACCCUACACCCUACACCUCUAUAAUCCUAUUUUUUAAUAUUCAAUAUAACAAAAUUAAAAUUUCAUACGGUGUAAAAAAGUUGUACACCGAAUUUAUAAGAUAUGCUCAUAUACACGUCUUUGACAGUAUCAAAGAGAACUUAUAUACUUUGGGUUAAAAUUUUUUUGUACGUAUAAAAAUGCAAGUAUCUAAUUUAAACAUACACAAUAAAUGAAAUAACUAGGAAAUAUAAUCUGAUCGAAUACUUUGUCAUAAUAAAAGUAGAUUAUACAUGUAUGAAAGUUGUGUGCACUCAGUAGUUGUACAGGAUAACAAAGAAGGACCCUCAUAUUUCUGGCAAAAAUACUUUAUUUUUUAAUAGUCGAAAUACAAAAUUAAAAUUUCAUACGAUGUAAAAAAAAUUGUACAACAAGUGUAGAAGACAUGCUCAUAUAUAAUCUAUAAUUUAAAAUUUUUUUAUUUUUGCCUACAAAAUUUUAUUGCAUGGACCAAUCUUAUUUUUUAAUAGUCUCCUCAAGCAAAGAGGGGGCACACUUUUUUUUCUCUCUCUCAUUCUCUCUCUCUCUCUCUCACCCUACACUGCUUAUUUUAUUUUAUUUUUUCUCUCAACACCUUUUUUUUUUAUUUUUUCCUGCUCCAAGUGUAAAAAAUAGGGCUGGUCCAUGCGCUAAAAUUUUACACUUGGUGUAGGCAAAAAUAAAAAAAAUUCAAAUUAUAAAUUAUAUAUGAGCAUGUCUUAUACACUCGUAUACAACUUGUUUUACACCUUGUAAACUUUUAAUUUUUGUUAUAUCGACUAUUAAAAAAUAGGGUUAGUCCAUGCGAUAAAGUUUUAUACUUGAUGUAGGAAAAAAAAUUUAAAAAAAGGUGUUGAGCGAAAAAAAUAAAAAAAAAAAAGGGUGCAGGGUGUGUGAAAGAGAGAGUGUGAGAGAGAGAAAAAAAAAACCUAUUUUUUAAUAAUUAAUAUAAUAAAAUUAAAAUUUCAUCUCAUAAGUAUAAUUUAUAAUAUAUAAAAAAUAUAGAUAGAAAAAUUAAUAGAUUUGUACCUCUAUAAUAAAACUUCAUAAAUAUUAUGUAAAAAAAAUUAAACAUUCGGUGUAUAAGACAUUGUUACACAUUAUUCAAUUUGACUUUAACUUAACAUCAAUAAAGUUUAGUUUUGAGCUCUCCUUCCUUGGAGCAUUGGUGGGGUCCGCCCACUUUCUCCACUCCCACUUUUUGGUAGUAGGUAAUAUUUUGCUUUGUUUUUUUAGAAAUAAAUUUAGCUGAAAAUGCGAUUCGAAAUUGGGACUUCGGAUAUUGAACACCAAACUCUUUACAACGUACGGUGGGAACGAUAGGUAAUAUUAGAAUAAAAAAUGGGCCAGUAUUUGAUUUAGUAAUUUAAAUUUAGGGAAAACUUCAAAAACCCCCCCUGUGGUUUCGUGCUUUCUCACUUUACUACCCUGUGGUUUAAAACGUAUCAAUUUGCCCCCCUGUGGUUUCGUUUUUCUCUUUUUGUUAUCAAUUUUAUUAUUAUUUUUUUCUUAAAUCAGUGACAAAGUUAAAAUUAAAGGAUACUAAAGUGAAUAUUCGAUAAAUAUAGAUGGUUAUCUGAAGUUUUUUGUAUAUAAUUUAACGAAAUGUUAACGAAAAAGCUUCCGAAAAGAUAAAAAUGAAACCACAGGGGGGCAAAUUGAUACGUUUUAAACCACAGGGUAGUAAAGUGAGAAUGCACGAAACUACAGGGGGGUUUUUGAAGUUUU
rnacentral:lncRNA from 1 species